CACUUCGGAGGGCGGGAACGCCCACCAUAAAAAAAAAUCAGAAAACGCCCCAGAAAAAUACCCGAUCCCUUUCCCCUCCCCCUCUCUCUCCCCCCUCUCCCCAUGGCAACGGAGGGUUCCGUCCUCGACCCUGUAAACGCCUGCCCGAUCUCGACCGGCCUCCGCGGAUCCGGCGGCGGCGCCUCCCCUCAUCGGCCCCCACAUCCCCCUCCUCUAUCGCCGUAGAUCCUCGAGCCGAACCCACGGGAUCUCCUCACCUCUCGAGUGCGGUGUACAUAGACGGCAGACAGGAUGAAGCCAGGCAACGGAAGGCAUCGAUCGAGCGCUAACGCAUACGAUUCUUGUGGGGUUUUUUUUUCCUCAAUGCUUUCAUAUUAUAAUUUUUAUCCCUUGGAUUUAUUCGCUCUCCUUGGAGGAAAUUUUCUUUGUUCAUCUCACUGGUGCGAAUCUUGGUUGAUUUUAUGAUUUUAUCCAUUAAAUACGAAUUAAGAUUCUCUUUUUAAUUUUAUCGAGAUUUUUGAUUGCCUGCUAAGAGCUGUUAGAUGUUAGAUGUUCGUCACUUUCUAAUCAUUUCACUUAGAAGAGUUUUUGGCCUUCUAUUGGCAUUUUUUGGAGCAUUUUACAAGGUUCAAGUUGUUGUGCUAUUAUUGGUGUUUUUUUUUUAAAAAAAAAAGAGAAGUUAAAUCUUAUCAUGGAAAGGCUCUUUCUUUUGGAAGUUUUCUGAUCUUGAGAGAUGUAAGGUUUUCAGACUUAUGUUGAUGUCCGUGUUUGAGCGGCAGAUAUAGAACCAUCUCGUGGCCGUGGCCCUUUUGCCUGAAAAUUGAGUGAAUUAUUUGUGUGAGAAAUGCGUGAGUAUUAAAAUAUUUAUGGUCAUGUUUACUGAUUGAUGAAGCUGAAAUCUAGAAAAAAACUGCCUCUCCGUUGCCUCUUGUGUUCUCUGAUUCUGGGUUUGUCUCUGCUGGAUUGCUUUUGUAUCAAGGAAAACAUCCUAUUAGGUUAUAUUUACCGUCUUUACCUUGCAUCUUUUUAUUUGCUUAACAAAGGGCUGGUGGGGGGCUUUUGCCCCUCCUCCCUUAUCAACGUAAAAGUGUCUUUCUUUUACUUAUUGCUGAAUUUUGUGCAGCAUCUCUGUUCACAGCCACCAUUUUUCUGAAAAAAAGAAAGGAAAGGAAAAAAGAAGUGGCCCUUUUAUGAGUCGCUUGUAUGAUCUGUCACGUUUGUCUGACAUUGUCUUUUAGGUAGGAUGCACCAUGGCAUGUUGUUUGCUUUUUCAGUGUUAUUUGUCCAUUGUAUUGCUAAUUGUUAUUGUUGUCUUCAUGCAAUGUGAAAUUGGUUUCACAUAAGACCCUUUGUGAGCUUUCCUACUGCUUCAAAUUCAUACCAAUUGGCUGAAUUAGGGUGAACCUAGUUAAUCAUAAGAUACAGUUUUCACAAAAUAGUUGACCAAUUCCUAACAAAGUUUUAUAAGGAAUUCUAGAUAGGCCUAGCAUUUCUCCUUCGCCUGUCGUUACUUUUGUCAACCAAUGCAUGGCUAAACAACAUACCACUCUUUCUGACUGCUCCUCAUAUACAUGUCCUAUAGGCACGUUCAUUUCAUUUUAAUGACAAUAAGCAUUUGAUCGAGUCUGAGAAAGUUUUGCAGGCUUCUUAGUUGCAUGAAGGUGUUUGAAUCAUUAUAUUGGGAACCACUAUGAGCUUUUGGGAGAAAGAGAGACUAUAUUGUCAAGUCAUAACACGAGUUAUUAUUAGUAGGAACAUAGUUGUCCUUGUUCUAAAUUUUGAAGAUAGAGCUUGUUUAUACUUUUACUGGUGUUUCAUCAUAGUAAGCUUUCAAAUCCUUCUCUCUUCGCCAUGAUGGUCAAUCUCAACUUGUUGGAAAGAAACAUCUGAGACUUAAUACCAGGCUUAUAAUUUAGAAGAAUAAUAUCAACCAUGUCUGUCCCCAUUUUGCAUGGGCAUAGAUGUGAAAUUAGAUUUUGUUGCUUACUGAAUUCAAACUUGGAAAGAAUAUUUAAUUAGAUCAUGUUCCAGCCACCACAGGUUAUGCAAGGACAUAGAUAUGGUUUACUUUUGUUGCUUGUUGAUGUCUGUGUCACCUUCCUUUUGUAUGAGCUGGUUGAGGUCUCUGGUGCACCCUGUUUCUUGGCCCUUUGGUUACUUGUGGUUCCUGUAAUUGCUCUGAUUGAGGUUUGGGGUCUUCUUCUUCUAAUCAUAGAAUUUUGGGGUGUAGGUAAACAAUAGACUCUUUGAGAAAUUAGAUCGUAUCCACCCACCACAGCUUUUGUGAGGACAUAUAUAUGGUUUGCCUUUUCUUUCUUGUUGUUGUCUGUGGCACCUCUCCUUUGUAUGUUCUGGUUGAGGUCUCCACUCAUUCUGUUUCUUGGCCCUUUGGUUUCUUGUGGUUCCUGUAAUUGCUCUGAUUGAGGCUUGGGGUUUCUUCUUCUUGUAACCAUAUAAUUUUUGGUCAUAGGUAACCAAUAGACUCUUUUCAGGACUUUCUCAAGUUAAAGUUUAAUGCUAACCUUUUCAGAAACUGCCUGGUAAAUUUGAUCCAAAUUUUAUCAUGCCCAACUCUUUCUUUCUCUUUCAAUCAAUGCACUUAUGCCCACACUAUGGUUAACUUGUACUUUAUCCUGGUCAUAGCCUUCCUAAUGUUAUAACACAUCUUCCUCACCACUCUUCUCAUUCUAAUGCUAAUCUGAUGUGCUUGGAAGGGAUUAAAGUGCCUGGGUCCAAAUAUUGUGGAUUAACCUCUCAUGAAUCGAACCUAGAUCCUCCUUCAAAUUGAUGAAAGUUGUGACCCCUUUGGUAUCACCCAGUUCACAAGUGCUUGCACCAUCAUUAUGUCCUCCAUGUUGAUAUAUUGAGCAGUGUCAACCUUGUUCGUCCAGAAUAUUCCUUUGAUCUCAAAGUUAUGCAACUGUCACAGCUGUCCGCCAUUUAACUUGUCUGCUCUGAUUCUGCUAUGCACAUCUUCCUCUAUCUAAUCUUUCAGCAUCUUUAUGUUCUCCAUGCUGAUAUAUUGAGCAGUGCCAACCUUGUUCGUCCAGAAUAUUCCCUUGAUCUUAAAGUUACACGACUGUCACAGUUGUCCGCCAUUUAACUUGUCUCCUAUGCACAUCCUUCUCUAUCUCAUUAUCCUUCUCCAGCCAAUAUGGCUGGCGAAAAUGAUCUCGCUGGUAUAUGUUUUGGUCAUCAAGUUUUAUGGCUUUGUUGGGAUUGCUCGUUUCAAAUUUUAUAAUAGAUCUUCCAAAGCAUACCUCCUUGGUUCUUAUUUAGCGCAUAACCUAAUCUUUGUCCCAUUUGUUCACUGUAUCAUUCAUAAAUAACACACACUAUGUAAAUGUUCCUUAAUAUUGAUAAUCAGUCCAUUCUUGUUAAAUGCAAAGAGGAAAGGGCUUAAGGUGGAACCUUGAUUUAGUCCCACUACAAGUAGAAAUUCAUUCAUUUCGCUGUUGUUAUAUGACAGACUAUUUUUUUCUUUUUUUUUUGCUAAUCUUCUUUAAUGAUGUUAAUGUACUGUUUGAUGCAUCUUGUUUGGUAGUGCCUAUCAUAUUCCUGAGAAUAUUCUAUAAUGCAAUACUUUAAUUCAAAGGAACUACGUAUAUAAUACAUACACACAAUAUUCCUCUUCAGAGUGUAGAUGUUUCUAAUGGUUGCCUAAGUAUGAAGCAACGUCCAUUAUUGACCCUUCUGGCAUAAGCAAGAUCAGCUCAUAUAUAUUUUUGACAUCUUCUUUAUUCCAAGAUCCAUCACACUACCUUUACAACAUUGGCAUUACCUGCAGGCUUCCAAAUGAGCGUGCAUAUGUGCAUGUGCUUGGGUGGGUUUGCAGGCGUGUACAUGCUUGUGCAUGUCUCUGUUAUAAGCAGGUUGCUGAUUGCUAGCAACUGGCAUCAUAAUCUAUUAACAUCGCUGUUUUGAUUGCAUUAUUUCAGGGCUAAAUAUUGUUAUGAACAUGAUUGUGUUUGUAUAAGAUAGACUAUCAGACCAAAAGUUUACGGUCAUGAAUUUUUGCAAUAAAGAGACAAACGAACGUGAGGGGCUCCUUUGCUGUUCAGAAGAAAAGGUCUCACAACUGUGAACAGGAACAAAAAUGCAUGCUGUUAGAUGCCCUCGAAUCGCCCUUCUCAAAAACCUAGUAGAAUAAGGUGCCCCAACUGCUUGGAAGGUUUUGUGCCUAGAGGUUUACAAGCGGUGCAUAAUGAGAGAGAGAGAGAGAGAGAGAGAGAGAGAGAGA
rnacentral:lncRNA from 1 species